rnacentral:rRNA from 1 species
CACGUGUGUCGUGGAGCAUUUGGUUUAAUUCGAUGUAAAGCGAAGAACCUUACCAGGGCUUGACAUGCCGCGAAUCCUCUUGAAAUAGAGGGGUGCCCUCGGGAACGCGUACACAGGUGGUGCAUGGCUGUCGUCAGUUCGUGUCGUAAGGUGUUGGGUUAAGUCUCGUAACGAGCGCAACCCUCGUGUUUAGUUGCCACUAUGAGUUUGAAACCUUGAACAGAUAGCCGGUGUGAAGCCGGAGGAAGGCGAGGAUGAGGCCAAGUCAUCAUGCCCCUUAUUCCAUGGGCGACACACGUGCUACAAUGGGCGGGACAAAGGGUCUCGAUCUCGCGAGGGUGAGCUAACUCCAAAAACCCGUCCUCAGUUCGGAUUGCAGGCUGCAACUCGCCUGCAUGAAGCAGGAAUCACUAGUAAUCGCCGGUCAGCCAUACGGCGGUGAAUCCGUUCC